rnacentral:rRNA from 1 species
UGGGGAAUAUUGGGCAAUGGGCGAAAGCCUGACCCAGCGACGCCGCGUGGGUGAUGAAGGCCUUCGGGUUGUAAAGCCCUUUCGUGCGGAACGAACAGUCUCGCGACUAAUACUCGCGGGAUUUGACGGUACCGCAGGAAGAAGCACCGGCUAACUCCGUGCCAGCAGCCGCGGUAAUACGGAGGGUGCAAGCGUUGUUCGGAAUUACUGGGCGUAAAGGGCGCGCAGGCGGUUGUGCAAGUCAGUUGUGAAAUCCCCCGGCUUAACCGGGAAACUGCAUCUGAAACUGCAUGACUAGAGUACAGAAGAGGGAAACGGAAUUCCCGGUGUAGAGGUGAAAUUCGUAGAUAUCGGGAGGAACACCAGUGGCGAAGGCGGUUUCCUGGUCUGAUACUGACGCUGAGGCGCGAAAGCGUGGGGAGCAAACAGG